AUGUUCGACGGAGCGGUUGGACCCGGAAGUUUUAUUUUAGUGCCCCACUCCGCACUCUGCAACAAGGUGUGUGCGGAGUGGAUCCGAAUCGCACACAUUCCUCCGCUGCCUGCAGCCCUGCAUUGGCCGGCCCACAAUGCUUGUGUAGCCUAUAUAUACAAGCGCUCAAUAUUAUCCUCACCACCAAACCGUCCUGCCUCUCUCCUUGUGUGCGCUUCUGAUCAAAGGUUCUGAGUCCACCGUCCCGGAGCGACCGGACCCGGAGGAGGACCUGCUGGCCGCUAGACCGCGCCGACGACGACGGUUAAGCAUGGACCAGCCGCCUUCAUAUACGAAUCUGCGUCUCCUCAAUGAAUAAGGAUGCAACCCUUUCUGACAAACGUGACAAAGUCACUAAUUCCAGUCUUCCCUCCACAGUUCAAGCUGAUUCCACCGGAGCGGAUCAAAGCGUGGAAGUUUGCGUCCCGUGCACACACACACAGGGCCGUAGCACCAAAUCCUGGGCCCCUAUACUAUAGGUACUGAUGGGCCCCCCUGCGCCAGGUUGUUGACGGGGGGGGGGGGGGGGGGGGGGGGGGGGGGGGGGGGGGGGGGGGGGGGGGGGGGGGGGGGGGGUCCGGAGCGAUUGUUGACGGGGGGGACGGGGGGGACGGGGAGCGAUUGUUGACGGAGGGGGUGGGGGGGGGGGGGGGGGGGACUGUGGCCAAAUGGUAAAAAACAUUUUUUUUUGGUCAUGGGCCCCCCCUCUGCCUUGGCCCCCCCCACAACUGUCCCCUUUGUCCCCGCAGUCCGACGGCCCUGCACACCCACACACACUUACCCGGCGGCUUCGAAAGAAAAACAAAUGCGUUCUUGUGUAAUCUCACCUCCAUGAAAUGAGGAACACAGAACAAUGACAAUAAAAGCCAUAUGUCCUCUUGCGAUACAACCGGGGUCCCCGCACACAAAUACCCCAUGCUUAAUAAUCAUAUUUCCAGUCGAUUAAUCAUAGGGAGUGAAAUUAGAAAUUGCGCCAGCGUUACAUUGUGUUUAUGUGUUAAAAAAUAACAUUGUUAAGAACCUCGAAGUCCGUUCUUGUGUAAACUCACCUCUAUGUAACGUUGAACACUGACAUAAGUAGACUCGUUUCUGAUUUGCAUUUUGCGUCGUCAGGACCUCGCUGACCUCAGGGCCGGCUCCCUGAUGUAACACGAUCAAACGACAGCCACGUGGUUUCAUCUGGAGUUUUAUUUAUUAUCUAUCUCCAGAUAAAAUAUAUCGGGUUUUAUUCAGGGAACGGCAUAUGUAAAGGAUAUCACUGUAUUCAUGAUAUGUGUUUGGUCUAGAGAGGUCAGUUGAAGACACGGGUCACAUGAUGACAAGAAUUAUGGACAUUGUACAUGGUGGAACAACUAUAUGUAUAGAUAUUCAGAUAGGGCCUAUAUCAGAUAGAUAUAACCAGAUGUUUCCUUUGGAUCAAUACAUUUAACAGAUAGUGAUAAUUAUAGAUCUAUGAUGGUAGUUUACCGCUAUGAAUGAUCAAUAACUCUAUAACAGAUAUAUGAUAAUUAUAGGUCUAUGCAGGGUGCGAUUUGUGAAAAAACCAGAGGGGGGGAUAAUUUUGAGAGACAUUUUAUUCAGGAAAAAUAACCACACAACAGUGUGAAAACUUAUGAAAACAGUUGAUCUUGUGACCUUGUGUAUCUAAACCUUACACUUAGGCUUCAUAACGUAGGCGGUAGGCCUAUUUUGAACGUGAACUUAACCACUGCAUUUGCAGAAAUAUUUUCUCAUAGCUAAAAUUGUUUUUAAAUGUGCCAAAUAAAAAAAUAUAUAUUUUUUUCCCGAUAUCAGUUCAACAGAAAAUAUGAAAUACCACAAUGUGCUGUCAAGACGUUUUUUUUUUAUUUUAUGGGUUAAU
rnacentral:lncRNA from 1 species